GGGCCAGGGAUGUAUUUGCAUGUGGACUCUGUAUAGCUUUGCACGCGACCAAAAGCACCGCGCAGUGCUCCAGACCAGGUAGGCGUGUGUCCUCACCCCGGCAUUCGUCUUCUAGGAGCCUUUCGUAAGCCUGGAAUGUGCUCUGCUUCAUAAACAUCGCGGGUUGUUCAGUCGGUGAAGCCUCCAGAUGAUUUCCGUGCCCAGGCCUCGAGCCUUCAAGCAAUGCAGCAGCUCGGGUAGCUCAUACAUCGUCGGCGGCAGGCUUGCGCAUCCCGCGGACUACGCUCAAGCUACGUUUGUUUCUUUACUGCUGCGUGCUCAAUGGGCUAGCUAC